GUGCUCAGUAAAUACGAGCUGCACAUAUAUUAAAAUUGGAACGAUACAGAGAUUAGCAAGGAUGCGCAAGGAUGACAAGCAAAUUUGUGAAGUGUUCCAUAUUUUU